GCAUGAUCAGUUGCUGCCUUGCUGGGUUAUUGACUCCAGUCACUCCACCGAAUCUAGGUAUUCUAAGACAACCCAAUUCAUCUCCAAAUUGAUAAAACCCAAAUUGAAAUUGUUAAAAUUAAUGAAAUUGUAAAUUCUGAUAAAUCCCAGUUCUUGGGUGGGUUGGAUUUGCUGAAUUUGUGCAUGUAAUUUUCUAGCUAGUCAUUCAUUUAAUUCAAAUACCAAUUUUGACAUCAUUGCUUGGAAUUUGGAAUGAUAUCGAAGUCCAUCGUUUGAUGUGGUAUAAGGAGUGUGAGGCAAAUUUUCCUCACUGUAAAAUCCUGUGUUACUGAUUAAACUGAAGAGACCUAUACCAAAACGAAAAAUUUGAUCGAAGAGAGGAGCUACUAGCCUACUACGUACCUAUAUAGAUAUCUAGCUUUAUCUAAUUUGCAGUCUAAUGAAUUUGUGGGUUGCUGAAUUAGGCUAAUACAUUUGAGUGGAGAUGCUUGAAUAUUGAUUUCUUUUAUUCAUCCUCUAUGCAAGAACUGUGUGAAUCAGAGGGCCACAAAUGAAAGCUUGAAGAGAAUAAAGCAAGAUGAUGCAGUGGCUUAUAUUAAUGAUGCUCUGAAACAAGGAACUGAAAUUUCUUCAUUCCGCAAAGAUAAGAUAGGAGGAGACGAAAAGAGGACUUCUUAUUGGUAUGAUGGAAAUACAAUAAUAGGUCAUAGAUUAUACAAGGAAGUAACUGUCAUUGAGUCGAAGACAAAAGUUAGGGGAAAAGGGUGUUUGAACCUACCAAAUAUCAGUUUCCAGUGGGAAACACUAGCAACCAAUCUCGAGGAAUUUCAGAAAGUUAUGGAUGAACUCUCAUCAAGCAAAGUUGCAGGAGAACGUGAUGCUGCUAAGACUAUUGAAACUGAUGCUAUUCCUGCUCUUGAGAAACUUCAGAAGUUUAGUAGCAAUUUACCAGUGA
rnacentral:lncRNA from 1 species